ensembl:lncRNA
CUCUAUCUAUCUAUCAAUCUCUCUCUCUAUAUAAUAUAGUAUAUAUGUAUAGAAUAUAUAUAUAUAUAUAUAUAUAUAUAUAUAUAUAUAUAUAUAUAUAUAUAAUAAUCUCUUUACAGCUCAUCACUGGACCAUCACAUGAUAGGGAGAAUUGCUAACAAGUAAUUGGGAGCAUCCAACCAGGCGUGACCACAGCCUAAGUGGAUGGAUGAUUGCAUCGGAAAUGUUCCUGCCUCCUAUGUUGCUUCCAGCAUGUCAUUUUUGCAACGUUAGCACUCAUCUGACAUGCCCUGUUGAAAUAUACCAGCAUCCCCCUUCAUCAAUUAUUGCACAGGACAAAUCCCUUAUAAUGUAUUUCAGGGUCAUGUCAUGCCACAAGUUAUACCAAAUAAUAAUUAUAAUAUAUUAGCUUUAUUACUGUGUUGUGUUUACUUGACAUUUACUUCAGAUUUUGUUUUAUACACAUAAUUUUAUUGCAAUACAUUAUGUAUUCGUUACACAACAAAAUAAAAUACUUUGAAGGAAGGACUACAUUCUUUGCCAUAUGUAUUUCAGUUUUAUUUUACUCAACCAUUUUCAGGAUGUAAACUGUAUAUGUGACAAUUUACUUUUGUUUCCACUUUUAUUCCCAGAAGGUGCUCUUGUACUCAAAACAAUUACACUCAAUUCAAACAUCUCAUAUUGCAACUCACCCAGCCAUGAUGCUAUAGCACCAAUUUCAUAUGCAUGUUAAUUCAUCUGAAUGUUAUUUAGUCUGCUUCAGGAGUGUGUCGAAAAGGCUUUUCUCUAUUCUCCCAGGCACUGCACUGACAGAACCUCUUAACACUUUGGUCUCUCCCUCUGUCUCUCUCUCUCUCUCUCUCUCUCUCUCUCUCUCUCACACACACACACACACACACACAAACACACAUACAAAACACACACACAAAUGUCUCCUUUGACAAGGACAGUGCUGUGUGUUUCGCCGACUCUAUUUUAGACAGUCAGUUUACAUGGUUUUUGAAAUGACCAGUGGUCAUCGAAGGCCCUCGGUUGACUUCACACUGUGUGUUUAGUGGCUUUGACCCCUACAUGAGCACGGCUCUCAUCACGUAGGAAUAAAAAGCCAUAAGACACAACAGCAGACUCACAGCAGGGAGGCGAGAGGACCAACAGGGGCCGUGGAAGGGGGAAAGAAGACAGGAAUAAAAGACAAGGCAGGCAAACCAGAGAGGGAAGAAUAGAGUGACUCAAGAGGGAUGGAGAGAAACGGAGAGGAGGAGGACAGGCUCAGUUAAAAGGGCACAGGAAGAGUGUAGCAUGGAAUUGAUAAAGAAAGGGUGGAGCCAUGCAUCAAAAGAGCUGAGAGUACGGCCUCAGAACUUUAGUAUGAGUAUAUAAGGAAGAGUACCAUAAUUCCCAGACUAUUAACUGCGGUUUACACAUUGAUUUGAUCAAUCUCCAGCCCUGUGGUUCAUACUCUGGUGCAGCCUGUACAUGGGUAUGAAUUAUUAAAAAGAAAAACCAGUCAAUCAAAAUAUUUUUUUUAAGGCAAGAGUUAACUCUGGUUCAUUGUGCUUGCGUGUGUCUUCAAACGGUGUGUGAGCUUUUAACAAAAAAUAAAAACAUCAAUGAAGCCUUGUGUUUUAUUCUUCACCGUGGUAAUGCUGCUCCCCUCAUCUUCGCACAUGUUAACUAGAAUGGCAAUUUACAUUGCGCCUGCCAAAUGGUCAACAACAGGAGAUUUUUUCCACCCCCUCUAGCUUUGCAGGCACCUUGUUACCUUCAUCCUUUUUUCUUCUAUCCGUAGUCUAAGUCUUGCCUUAGUGAAUUAGCUAGCUAGCUACCGCCAGAUGCCAACAAUGACAAGCCCUGUAACUGGUGUGCGCUCUCUCUCUCUCUCUCUCUCUCUCUCUCUCUUUCUCUCUCUCAUGCUCACACAGAAUGCACAGGUGCCAAGUAGUGUGAGGUAGAUCUGCUGCUUGAAUGACACUCAGAGGUCCCGAAAUGUACUUGCAUUUUUGACACAACGACAUAAUGUUGAAUAAAAUGUGCUUAAUACCCAUGUACAGUUAAUACAUAGAUUUGUUUUAUAAAACCACACAGUAUAUUGUCAUGUGGUUAAUAUACGUGCAGUUAAUCAUCAGGAAGUUAUGGUAUGUGGUUUUGUGAUGUAAUUGAUGAAUAUAUAUAUAAUAUACCACACAAACAAUCAAGAGUCGGUUUAGGUCUACUAGUGACUGUGUGCUUUCUGAAUUUGUUCAUUCGCCAUGUACCAUGACUGAAUGUUUGAGAGGGUGUCAUCAUGUACUGAGACAUAAAUAAUUGACCACAGCAGUGUGUACUGGCAUCUCAGACAGUGUCGCCCCUUUUAAACAUCAGCUGAUUGUCAUGCUUAUCCAGCCACGGCCAGCUCGACAGCAGCACCACCAGCGAGCCGGUGUCUCGUCAAGCACAAAUCUACCCGUGUGUCUGAGCCGGAUCUUCAGCCACCUCAAACAGACGUGGCACGGGCACAGGAGUGGAGGCUGCCGCUGCUCACCAAGACCACUGGCUCAGCUCAGGGACUUCCUUCACUUCAGUCAGUCAGUCAGUCAGAGCGACAUAUUGAACAGCAUGGGCAGGUAGGGCUUUUCUAUGUGCCUAUUGUGUGCGUGUGUGUGUAUGUGUACGCCACUAUCAUCAGUGUGUGUGUGUGUGUGUGUGAACACAUGCCAGGCAGCGGUGAUAAAUAUGCAUGAGGUGGGGCAGGGCUCUAGUGUGCCCGUAUGGAAAUCAGCGUGCGGCAAGAUGAGCCUUCGCCUAUUUUUUUUUCUGAGGGAUGUGAAAUUCGACACGGGCUGGGAGCAGUAAAUUACCACAGCUCGGCCUUUUUUUCCUCCCCAACACCCCCCCUCUCUUUCUCUAAUUCUCUCUCUUCCCUAUCCUCACCCAUUGUGGCGAUGUAGCCAUGACCAGUUAUCAGAACCCUCUCCACCACCCUUCCCUCCAUACAAACACACACACUCACACACAGCUUUCCCCGACCUUCCCCCACCCAUAAACCCUGCAACACUUCAUCAGCCACAUGAUGCAGGAAAAAAAAAAACAGGCGUGAGAUGCAAUGUGGCCGCGUAGCACAAGCGAGCGAGAGAGAGGCAUCUUGGAUUAUGCGGAACGGUCUAGAAAUUGCCAGGCGUGGACGUGCGGGAGCAGCAGGGCCCGAGGCGCCCGAUGGCAUUGGUCAGUGCGAGGAUGAGCAGCGCAUACCUCCAGGCCUGCGGGCCAUUCAUAAAUUAAUGAGCGGGUCUUCAGCGGCUCGCUGUCUCACUGCGUUUUCCCCCUGUAAAGAGAGCGGAGAGAGUGGAAGGGGAAAAAAAAACAUGGAAAACGUGGAUAGAAUGUGAAGGCAAGCACUGGUGUCCAGCUGCACAUUGUUCAGAAUUUGGUUCCAAUUUAUAUUAGAUGUCUUGGGGACAGUGGAACUGAUUAAUUACAAUUCAUUGAUCGCAAACCUACACCAACCCCAAAAUACAUCUAGCAAUAACACGUGGUUAUGCAAGAAAUACACUGUAACUGUUAAUGUACAGUUGGCCCUUUAUUUAUGCUACGAACAUCUUUGCUUCUGUUUACACUUGUAAUCUACAGUGGACAUCUGUGUGGAUUUAUCUGCAAAAGUACAUUCAUUCUGAAUAAGAUAACAAAAGCUAAUGUAGAACCUGGGCUACAAUGAAUAAUAUGGAGGAAAUGAUGCAAGAAAUGCAGCAACAACACAUUAGAUAGUCUUAGGACACAGUGAAGAUUUACCUCGGCUCAUUGUGUGUGUGCGGGGCAUAUAGAUUUAGUAAACAAUGCAGAGAAACGCUGAAAGCUUGAGAGUUGAAAUACAAAACAUCUCUUUGAGUCACUCGUUGAUUCCGAGAUGCCACUCACUUUUGUGUUUCGAUUCUAAGCAGGUAAUUUGUUGAAAACAGCACAGACAAACAAAACUCAAACAUGUAAUACGGUGUCCCUACCGCUGAGGCCUUCCAGAACAAACAAAAGGCUUAGAUUUGCAGAUGCUUUAGUGGUUCUUGACUCAAUUUCCAGGCUUACACGGCUUGAUUUAUCGAUAGAGAGCACAAUGUUUUUGAUCCAAGCAAAUCUCACUGUUUGCUAUCUGACACCAUGCAGACUAGGUACACUUUAAUCUGUGGUAAAUUCAAAGGAUCAAAAGUGUUGUCUGUUUAACUCUCCAAACUAGAAGAGGGUUCGGUGAAGCAUGCGUUUGGUGUGUAAAUCAUGGGGCAUGCUUCUGAAUCUUUGUGAUGCUGAAUCAGAAACCCCCUCUUAAACCUUUGGAUUCAUGUCACCCGUAAAGGAAAUGUGUUUUACGAAAUAAUGUUUUACGUACAGUAUAUGUACUCUUUAAAUUCCUGUAAUCCGAUUCAAAUACUGCAUGUUUUAGAACUGGUUAUUAUGGUCUUGAACCACACCAUUUGUAGUAUUUGGGAAUACCUUUAUAUGUGCACUGCACCACAAGGCGUUAUACACUACAAUACAGCUUAUUGCCUAGGUGCUCAGUGGUUCUCUGUGUUAGUUCAAGUAAAUAUUAUGUUUUAGUCGGAUCAUUAUCGCCUGAAAAUUACAGUUUGCUCUGCUGGCCUUUUCUCUCAGAAAGCCAAUAUAUUUCCUUCUUAGGGUGAAAAAAUAAUUGCAUAGAGAUGGAUGAGUUCAUAUUCUCUAAAUGAGCAAUAAGACAUUAUUUAUAGACUUGAGCGCAAAUACGUACAAGAGUUGGAUGGUGUUAUUCUCCAGAUACUGGCACAACAGAAACCAGAUCCUACUGAAUCUGAACCGUUUGGGUCAGGAAUUCUGGAGUAUCUGAAAACCGUUGAUUAUGCGCCUGUAGAGGUCCCCUGCUGUCCCAGGUACUUGCUUUUCGCUCUAUCUUUCCACCUAAAUAUUUCACAACCAGCCCAGACUAUGCUGGCGAUAUCAAAUGCCUUGUGCUACCCACAAAUAUUCCUCAUUUAGAGCUACCCUUUCCAUUUGGACUGCUGGGUAAAGUAAUCUCUUCUGUCCUGUCCUUAAAGCUACCCCCUGUGCUUUUAUGCAUGUGAUUAGGUUUGAAUGAGAGUAAUAAAACCCCCAUUAAGUUGGGGUGAAAUGAGUCAUUACUGCAUUCGCUGGCUGUUUGGCUGACUCACAUGUCCUUUCAUCCACCCAGGGUUUUGCAAGACUGAUGUCCCCCCUGCUCAUAUUUGCUGUACUUUUUUAGGGGUGGCGCUAAUGACUGGCAUUUUGAUUUCCACAAGAGUCUAUCCAUCCUGUUUCUAUAACCCAUUGACUGCUAUGUGAAAAGGUUCUAUGAGUGUGCAAAUGAUAGUGCCUUUGGCUUAGGAUGAGGCUAUGAUGACAGGUUGAAUGAGUGCACAGGAGCAGUAAAGAGCUAAUGAAUUGUGGAUUGAAAAAGUAGAAACGUACAGCAUCAUCAUCCCACAGUGGUACUCAGAAACGGGGAAGAGGUUUGUAUGCAUCAGCUGGUAAAGCCCUACUUGCAAAAUUUCUGAUUGAGUCUAACAAGUAAUUUUCUUUCAUCAAUUAGCGGCGUGUAUUUUGUAGAUGCAGCAUUGGUCCUGAAUUAAAGCUUACUUGAAGCACUUGGGUACAUUCCUUUGAGGAUGUGCCCUACACAUUAAAUAAGCAGUGAGAGUAAUUUGAUGACUUGUUCGAGCAGUUAACAUGUCUUCAUGUGCAAAAAUCAUUUUCAGUUUAAAAUGAAAACCAUUUCAAAGUCCAAUCAUCUUUUCGGUAAAGAGAAUUUUAAAAUAACCUUACUAAUUAAAGUGCGUGAUUAAAGCAAAUGAAAUGUUCAUAAUUAUAAUCUAUAUUGACAUGCAACUGAUUAAUUUGUUGAUUGCAAUUGCAAGCAUUAAUUAUGCUUGGUGUCUACCCUGUAAGCAUGCGUUGAGAUUCUGUCAGAUUUUUGUAUAUUUAUUCAUGAAGGCAUAUCUUUAUAAUUUAUGUAAAGAGGUGGUCUCUUAUAAACAAUAAGAAUUCUCAAUGGACAAUGAAAAUGAUAAGUAAAUGCUGUUUGUAUUACAGAUAUGAUGUGUGUCAGAUAUAAGCUUUAGAAAGACUUAAUAAAUGAUUAAUAAAUGAUUUAUUAAACACUUAGCUUAGGAAUGUUACAAAACUGUUACAUAGACAAGCACUCUUAACACAGCAUGAGUAAAUGACAACACAUACAUGAUGAGUUGUGAAUGGGAAGCAUGAUAUCAUAUUAUAUUAUCAAGUUGGAAAGCACAUAAUGUUUGCUAAAUGUUGCAACAUGACGAAUAACACACAGACACGAGACACCACAUACCCUGGUUUAUAAACAUUGCAUUUAUAAACAGACUCAUGAUGUGUGAGAUUUUUCAAAUGUUACAGGCUCACUAUUACAUACAUAUGAAUGCAUUGUGUAGAGACAGAAAAUGGCUAUUACAGUGAUAUGAUUGCAGACAUUACUGAUACGUGCUGAAGAAGAUUUGAUAGGAUAGCAAACUCCCAUACAUUAUAUAUAUAUAUAUAUAUGUGUGUGUGGGAGUGUGCAUGAGGUGAGGAUGGCAGAAUGGGAGUAGGGGAUUGGGGGGGGGGCGCUUGAUGCAUAAUCCGGUGUGUAGGUGUCUAGUUUCCAUUGUGUGCGCACAGUAUUUGUUAUGGUGGCUUACUGAGGUUAUCAUGGAAUGUUCCAGUCAUUGAGUAGCGAAAUUCCGAGGCUUAUCACAACAGUCACUGAAUGGAGGCACAACUCCUCCACCCACACUGCGUUUAGAUUUCUCACAGUCAGAGGGCUCGGCACAUGACAACUAAACCCCUGUGCAGGGGAGUGCUAUUGUUGCCGAGGUGAUAAUAAUCUGAUCAUCAUCAUUAGGUGGCUUCUUUCCACUCGGCUAAUCCGGCCCUGCCCAGACCUACGCUACGAUGUGAGCGCUCUCUCGCUCUCUCUCUAUCUCUCUCAGGUAGAUCGGCCCGACACGCAUGGUUUCCCCGCGCCACAAUCAGAGAAUACCAAGGACAAUUUGUUUCAUUAGGAGAGGCCCCAUGUUUCCAUGGCGACACUGAUUAAAGAGGCUGUCACCAAAAUUAGGGGUCUAAUGGAGUUCUCCUCGCUGAUAAUGCCAGUGAUGAACCCGGGUCAUAAACAUCAGGAUCAAGACCCCCGUGGAAGGAAUCAUCAAGAGAGGUCGCCUGCUGUGCCCUGAGGAUGCUAAGAUAGUCAUGGAGGGACGCAAGGCAGAGUCUUGGCAAGCCUCGGCGGGCUUAAGUGUGUGCGCGGUGACUGAACUGUGAGGGCCUCAUACAUAAAUAACCGGAGAGAGAAAUGCAAAAUUCACGUCCUCUCUCUUCGGUUUAUCAGCAUCCCAAUCCCUAACAGAUGCCAGGAAUGUAGUAUUCUAUAAUGUAUGAAGAAUUCAUUUCAGGAGAAGGGGGCAGCUGAUAAAAGACAAUUCACUGUCACUGUGGAAAUUCAAAUCUAUCUGUUGAGGAUGAAAGCACAUGUUCCCCAGACUUUUUGCCUGAUUGAUUUCAACCGAGUGCAUUGACUGCUGCGAGGGUAAUCUUGAGGAAGAAAGGGAAGGCACUGUUAGCAGUUAUCGAAAUGCGCAGAUGCGCUCUGCCUCCUCCCCAAUGCCACAUCCAUCAGACGUGCACUUUGGGAGGAUGCUGGGCUGGACCAUCUGGCAUCGCUUAAAAAUAAACGAUGGGUCUAAAUCAAGAGGGACACCUCCAUCCGUCUGUCUGCUCCUCGUGCCAGCCUGAUCUGCCAUCUGAACCUCUGAGGAUUGCCGAGACCCUGCCUGUCAAAAACAACGACUUGGAGCAGGAGCAAGAUUCAGCCCCCGACCCCCACCCCCUAUCAUGUCUCAACAGCAGUACAUUCCCAUUUCUAUUCAGCUCAGCCAUACACAGCUGUAGCUACUGUAUAGCUAUCCCGAUCAUUUAUUUAAGGUAUUCAAGGUAGUCACACCCUUGUGGAAAAGAUAGAUCACAAACUGAGGCGCGCACAGAGUCAAAGCGGACAGGUGUGGGGCGACAGCUGCCGAUAAACAACAAGUCAGACGUGUCUCGAUGCCACCGCUCCGCACCGCUUCGCUUUUUCCAUUUGCAGCGGGGUUUCGGGAAAGGGAUUAUACACAACGUCUGUGGCAAAACGAUUAAACAAAACCCAGAAAAAAAACUUUCCAGGCCACCACUGGCAGACGAAGCACAUGCCAAUAAAUCACUAAGCCACCCAGGCAGGCUAUGACUAUAAUGACAGGCCCCGAAAAAGGGAGGGCGGCUGUAUUAAUUUCAUUGAUUCUGAAAUGAGGCGCGGCGAUAAGGCUAUCUCUGCCUUAUCUUCGGCUGACGGGGGGUGGGCAUAAUUAAAUGGACGGCGACGGCUUGGCAGCCAGAUGACGAGCGACUGGUCCAGGCAGGCAGGCAGGCAGGCAGAGGAAUAUGAGGGCUGAAUCAUCCUCAGCCUGGUAGGAGCACAUGGUUGAUUAGAUUGGCGCCUAAUUGCUAUCGCUGCUAUAUUUAGGCUCCAGCCUAAUCAAAACCCCCUAAGACUCCUCGCCUCCCACCCCGAAACAUUCCACCCACCCCCCACCCCAC